AAAGAACUACAAGCAGCUUUCUAUGUUGUCGCUUUUUGAAUGGUCAUCAAUACAUUUAAAAAUUAUAACGGAAAAUGAAACCAAAAGUUUCCAAAAACCUGAUAGAAUCGUGUUAACAAUGGCAAGUGCAACAACACUUGCAUCGCCCGAAUAGGAAAUAGUUAAUUGUGAUCCUCCGUUGAAAGCAAGGAAUCCAAAGAAAAGGAUGAAACCACCUAACGAGACCAUCUAAAAACGAAGUUAAGAACACCUUGAAAAACAAAGAGUUUUACUGAAUAUUUUAUUUAAAAAAUAAGUACCUGCGUACAUGUGGUUAGCCGAUGAAGUAUAUGGCUAUUAAUGAAGUAGAUUAAUAAACAUGUAGCUCAAAAAUAUUAUAUAUUAAAUAAUAAUUGCACCAAA